rnacentral:rRNA from 1 species
AGCGAACGCUGGCGGCAGGCUUAACACAUGCAAGUCGAACGGUCCUUCGGGAUAGUGGCGGACGGGCGAGUAACACGUGGGAACGUACCCCUAGGUUCGGAACAACACAGGGAAACCUGUGCUAAUACCGGCUAAGCCCUUCGGGGGAAAGAUUUAUCGCCUUUGGAGCGGCCCGCGUCUGAUUAGCUUGUUGGUGAGGUAAUGGCUCACCCAGGCUACGAUCAGUAGCUGGUCUGAGAGGAUGGCCAGCCACACUGGGACUGAGACACGGCCCAGACUCCUACGGGAGGCAGCAGUGGGGAAUCUUGCGCAAUGGGCGAAAGCCUGACGCAGCCAUGCCGCGUGGAUGAUGAAGGUCUUAGGAUUGUAAAAUCCUUUCACCGGGGACGAUAAUGACGGUACCCGGAGAAGAAGCCCCGGCUAACUUCGUGCCAGCCGCCGCCGUAA